rnacentral:rRNA from 1 species
AUUGAACGCUGGCGGCAGGCCUAACACAUGCAAGUCGAGCGGAUGAAGGGAGCUUGCUCCUGGAUUCAGCGGCGGACGGGUGAGUAAUGCCUAGGAAUCUGCCUGGUAGUGGGGGAUAACGUCCGGAAACGGGCGCUAAUACCGCAUACGUCCUGAGGGAGAAAGUGGGUGAUCUUCGGACCUCACGCUAUCAGAUGAGCCUAGGUCGGAUUAGCUAGUUGGUGGGGUAAAGGCCUACCAAGGCGACGAUCCGUAACUGGUCUGAGAGGAUGAUCAGUCACACUGGAACUGAGACACGGUCCAGACUCCUACGGGAGGCAGCAGUGGGGAAUAUUGGACCAUGGGCGAAAGCCUGAUCCAGCCAUGCCGCGUGUGUGAAGAAGGUCUUCGGAUUGUAAAGAACUUUAAGUUGGGAGGAAGGGCAGUAAGUUAAUAUCUUGCUGUUUUGACGUUACCAACCGAAUAAGCCCCGGCUAACUUCGUG